UACGAAGGGGGCUAGCGUUGUUCGGAAUCACUGGGCGUAAAGGGCGCGUAGGCGGCUUUGUAAGUCGGGGGUGAAAGCCUGUGGCUCAACCACAGAAUUGCCUUCGAUACUGCAUGGCUUGAGACCGGAAGAGGUAAGUGGAACUGCGAGUGUAGAGGUGAAAUUCGUAGAUAUUCGCAAGAACACCAGUGGCGAAGGCGGCUUACUGGUCCGGUUCUGACGCUGAGACGCGAAAGCGUGGGGAGCAAACAGG
rnacentral:rRNA from 1 species